AUGAUGCUGUUAAUGUUGCUGAUUUGUUCUUUCGUGAAAUUAUUCGCUUGCAUGGUGUGCCAAAUACUAUUGUUUCAGAUCGUGAUACUAAAUUUCUUAGCCACUUUUGGAGAUGUUUAUGGGCUAAGUUGGGGACUAAACUGCUUUUUAGUACUACUUGUCACCCCCAAACUGAUGGACAAACUAAAGUAG
rnacentral:rRNA from 1 species